CCAAUAGCGUAUAUUAAAGUUGUUGCAGUUAAAAAGCUCGUAGUUGAAUUUCGGGAUCAAUAUAUCGGUCGUGCCUUGGUACGUACUGGUAUCAUUGGUUUCUCCUUUCUGACGAACCAUGAUGUCAUUAAUUUGGUGUUAUGGGAAGUUAGGACUGUUACUUUGAAAAAAUUAGAGUGUUUAAAGCAGGCUUUAGCUUGAAUACAUUAGCAUGGAAUAAUGAAAUAGGACGUUCGAACCUAUUUUGUUGGUUUCUAGGAUCAACGUAAUGAUUAAUAGGGAUAGUUGGGGGCAUUAGUAUUCAAUUGUCAGAGGUGAAAUUCUUGGAUUUAUUGAAGACUAACUACCGCGAAAGCAUUUGCCAAGGAUGUUUUCAUUAAUCAAGAACGAAAGUUAGGGGAUCGAAGACGAUCAGAUACCGUCGUAGUCUUAACCAUAAACUAUGCCGACUAGGGAUCGGAUGAUGUUAAUUUUUUAAUGACUCAUUCGGCGCCUUACG
rnacentral:rRNA from 1 species